AAGAGACAGCAGUCGCCGCGGGAAUACAAAGGAUGCAAGCGUUAUCCGAAAUGAUUGGGCGUAAAGCGUCUGUGGGUGGCUUUUCAAGUCCGCUGUCAAAUCCCCGGGCUCAACCCUGGACAGGCAGUGGAAACUACCAAGAUGGAGUACGGUAGGGGCAGAGGGAAUUUCCGGUGGAGCGGUGAAAUGCGUUGAGAUCGGAAAGAACACCAACGGCGAAAGCACUUUGCUGGGCCGACACUGACACUGAGAGACGAAAGCUAGGGGAGCAAAUGGGAUUAGAUACCCGCGUAGUCCCUGUCUCUUAUAC
rnacentral:rRNA from 1 species